rnacentral:rRNA from 1 species
CCUACGGGAGGCAGCAGUGGGGAAUAUUGCACAAUGGGGGAAACCCUGAUGCAGCGACGCCGCGUGAAGGAAGAAGUAUCUCGGUAUGUUAACUUCUAUCAGCAGGGAAGAAAAUGACGGUACUUGACGAAGUAUCCCCGGCUAACUACGUGCCAGCAGCCCUGGUAACACGGCGGGGGCAACCGUUAUCCGGAUUUACUGGGCGUAAAGGGAGCGGAGGCGGUGCAGCAAGUCAGUAGGGAAAGCUCGGGGUUCAAAUCCGGGACUGCAUUUGAAACUGCUGAACUAGAUUGCAGGAGAGGUAGGUGGAAUUCGUGGUGUAGCGGUGAAAUGCAUAGAUAUUAGGAGGAACACCGAUGGCGAAGGCAGCUUACUGGACUGUGAAUGACGCUGAGGCUCGAAAGCGUGGGGAGCAAACAGGAUUAGAUACCCCGGUAGUC